GCAUGGUUAUGGAUUUAUGGUGGGGCCUGUAUGUGGCUUCCUCAUAGUGUAUCCCAUGCUAGAACAAACUUCUGCUCCGAACCAUUGGCAGGUGUUAAUCUGUGUGCCUGAUCCACUGAAGAGAGCAGUACAGCU
rfam:Xenopus laevis strain J chromosome 8S, whole genome shotgun sequence.